GACGGAGGGUGCUAGCGUUGUUCGGAAUGACUGGGCGUAAAGGGCGCGUAGGCGGCUUUUCAAGUCGGGUGUGAAAGCCCGGGGCUCAACCCCGGAACGGCAUCCGAUACUGGGAGGCUUGAGACCGGGAGAGGAGGGUGGAAUAUCCAGUGUAGAGGUGAAAUUCGUAGAUAUUGGAUGGAACACCAGUGGCGAAAGCGGCUCUCUGGCCCGGAUCUGACGCUGAGGCGCGAAAGCGUGGGGAGCGAACAGG
rnacentral:rRNA from 1 species